rnacentral:rRNA from 1 species
UACGGGGGAUGCAAGCGCUAUCCGGAAUUAUUGGGCGUAAAGCGUCCGCAGGUGGCUAGACAAGUCUGCUGUCAAAGACUGGAGCGCAACUCCGGGCAGGCGGUGGGAACUGUCGAGCUUGAGAACGGUAGGGGUAGAGGGAAUUCCCAGUGUAGCGGUGAAAGGCGGAGAGAUUGGGAAGAACACCAGUGGCGAAGUCGCUCUACUGGGCCGUAACUGACGCUCAGCUAUGAAUGCUAAGGUAGUGAAAGGG